UACGUAGGGCGCAAGCGUUGUCCCGGAAUUAUUGGGCGUAAAGAGCUCGUAGGCGGCUUGUCACGUCGGGUGUGAAAGACCGGGGCUUAACCCCGGUUCUGCAUUCGAUACGGGCUGGCUAGAGUGUGGUAGGGGAGAUCGGAAUUCCUGGUGUAGCGGUGAAAUGCGCAGAUAUCAGGAGGAACACCGGUGGCGAAGGCGGAUCUCUGGGCCAUUACUGACGCUGAGGAGCGAAAGCGUGGGGAGCGAACAGG
rnacentral:rRNA from 1 species